AAAAAUAUAAAAAAAAAAUCAUUAUUUAUUUUAUUUUCCUUCUAAUUUCACCUCUUCGACUGCAGAUAUUCUCUUCUCUCUUUGUCUCAAAAUCUCUUUUCCUCUUCAGAUCUCCUCUUCUCAUCGUAUUCAGAUCUCCUCUUCGUCUCUAGAUUUCUUCUCUCUUCUCUUAUUGUCGUCUUCCUCCGCCGCCGCGACACCAAACCCACCCGAUUCAACCAAAACUCAGUCCUCUUUUCUCAUCUUCCACCAUUUCUUGUCACCUUAACUCCAGAUCUGGCUACCUCCACUGCACAAAAAUCCGUUUCUAUAGAAACCCAGAAGCAGCCAUGCCUAGUGAUAAAACUUGUAGAGACGAUAUGAGGUUUUACAUUAGGGAUUCGUUGACAAGAAUGAAGAUUGGGGAUGAGUGGAUGAUGAAGCAAGCUUUGAUUAAGCUUAACGGAUGAAGUUUCUUAUAGCUUAAAUACGAGCAAUUUAGGUUUACUUUUUUUCUUGGUUUUUGAUUUCGUUUAAUUUGGUAUGAAGCAGGUAUACGGAGACAUCUUCAAUUGCUUUAACGAAAGAAGUGUCUAAGAAGGUGUCGUUUUGGUGUCUUUGCAGGUGAGGAUGUGAAGAGGACUUUGUUUAUUUCCAUGGUGUUUCUUCUACUCUCAUCUGAUUUGACGGCCAAGCUAAGUAAUAAAGGUAUAAAGUUCUUUGGGUUUAUUUAUGGUUUGCAGGUGAGGAUCUAAGAACUUGGUUUGUUUCCAUGGUGUUUCUUACAUGGGUUUAUUUAUGGUUCUUUGAAUUUGUCUGCUUCUUCAGUCCAAAAGUUUGUAGGAUUUUUUUACUCUUAGCUUUGUUGUUUUUCACCCAAAUUUAGGAGCUUUGGUGUGUACUAUCAUCUUUUAAUGGAGAUAGAGAAGCUUCUCUUUUCUAAAACUGAUGAACUUUGUUUUGUUUCUUCUUGUGUGCUCCAAGUUCUAGAGUUAGAGAAGCUUCUCUAUUAUUUUAAUCACAAGACAUGUUAGUAUUUUGAAUGGUUAGUUAGUACAUUAGUGUGAUUAUUAUUGUUUUGUCUAAACGUUUAACUAUG